GGAGGUUACAGCUCAACUGGUAGAGUGCUUGCCUAGCAUGCAUGAGGUCCUGGGUUCAAUCCCCAGUACCUCCA
rnacentral:tRNA from 1 species